rnacentral:lncRNA from 1 species
GUCUCUCUACCUUCCUCUCUCUAAAAAAUAGUACUGUGAUAAAUCAUAUUACAGAGAGAGAUUUUUUUUGUUUUUAACAAGCAAUAUUAUCUACACUAAAGAGGAGGGGUAGAGUUAGCGUCAUAAUGGACUAGCAAUAAUGGUUCAAUUCGCCUUUGGCGAAAAUCGAACCUAAGACCUCUCACUUACAAGUGAGGAGGAAUAUCACUAGACCGUAGUACGAAGUGGCUAUUACAGAGAAACAAAUUAGGAAAGAAGUAAUGUGAUAUUAAGUAAGGAUAGAAGCCACUCAAUACUACGAUCUAGUGGUAUUCCUCUUCACUUUAAAGUGAGAGGUCUUAGGUUCGAAUAUCGUGGAUGGCGAAUUCGAUACCAAUUUAGGCUGCCCAUUGUGUGGCUUAGCCAAACUCUCAAUUCUCUUAGUGAAAAAUAUUGAUGUACUAAAAAAAAAAGUAAGGAGAGAGAAGUAUAUAUAAAAAAAAAAUAGUGUAAACAUGCCAUGUGAGAAGAGAGGUCGAUAGAAAGAGGAUGAUCAACUCAAUAACACAAGUUAAUGAUAUAUUUUAUAAGUUAAGGUUUUUAAAUUGUUCCUCGCCGUUGGGAAAAAUAAAGGAUAACGUUAUUUAUACAUUUAUUUUUAUAUCUUAAACACCUUAUUUACUUUUGGUCAUUGAUCAUUUUCAAUUCAUUCGAUCUGACUAUCAAAAGUUGAAAAGACUAUGUGAAAAGUAAAAAUGAUUGUAAAUAACACUACCCAAGAUAAAAGAUUAAUUAUUUCUUGAUAUCACCUUCCAUUGAGAAAGAAUGAUGCUUGUUCUUCCAGUUACCCUCUUGCUUCAUUUCAUACAAAAAUGAUAUGCAAAUCAUCAAAAGAGUAAAAAAUUUACCUUGCCACCUGGUAAGAAAAAUAGUUAAGAGUGAGUAAACUGAUUGAUUGAGAGGGACAGAUAAAUCACAAGAUUGGACAACACAACAUUUCCAUUAACAAUAAUUAACAGAGAGCUUUUGGAAACCCUAAUCCAUAAGAACUAGGAUUCUCUCCUAUGCUUUUUCAAUCUU